GGAUUGAUGAUGAGUCCCUCACAAUGCAUUCCUUGGAAAAGGUGAACAAAGUGAGUGAGAAAUCCAACCAUUGUUUUCAUAGGAUCUGAGGUUC